AUUCCAGGUAGCGGGGGUGGCAGGAGCAAGGAUGGAGGCGGAGGCAAGAACAUGUAAGGUGCGCACACGGAAUGGUGAGGGGGUCUCCACCUGCUGACAUGCAUAGAGGGGGCGCUUAUGUUGUCUGGGAGAGAACAGGAACAAGAGGGUUCCCUUCAGCUACUCCCUCAGUCUCAGUUUCCCUGUCUCAUUUAAUCCUCACAAAAUCUCUCUGGGGAAUGUACUCUGGUUUUCCCCAUCUUCCACCAAAGAAAUGAAGGCACAGAAGGGUAGUCACUUGCCCAAGAUCACACAAGUAGUGAGUAAUGACACAGGACUGGCCUUGGCCCCAGGUCUAUACAACUCUAAAGUCAGAUCCUAACCACCAAACCAGGGCCAGGUGCAGUAGCUCAUGCCUGUAAUCCCAGCACUUUGAGAGACCUAGGCAGGAGGAUCACUUGAGGCCAGGAGUUCAAGACUAGGUUGGGCAACAUAGAGAGACCCUGUCUCUACCGAAAAAACAAAAUAAAAUAAAACCCCCAAAACUAAUCACCAAGCCACGCUGUCUCACUGGAAGCUAACAGAAGGCUCAAAGUAGAGGGAACUGACAAUUCUUGGCUCCCCAAAGCCCUUACCAAAAUAAGUGAGUAAGAGAUGGCGAGUCUUUAAAGGAGUGGCUCAUCUUUCCUCUCCCUGGGGCAUUUUGGUGUGGGAGACUACAGGGGAUGAGGUUAAAAAGCUUGGUCGGCAGGUAGAGGAUGGGGAGAGAGGUUAGGGCCCUGGGAAAGGUGAGAGAUCAGCCAGAGACAGGUUUCCCAGAACAGAAUGUCUGGC
rnacentral:lncRNA from 10 species